rnacentral:tRNA from 1 species
UUAAUUGAAGCCAAAAUAGAGGCAUUUCACUGUUAAUGAUUUUAUUGAAUAAAAAUUCCAAUUAAA